rnacentral:lncRNA from 10 species
AAAAUCAGCCGGGUGUGGUGGUGCGUGCUUGUAGUCCCAGCUCCUCCGGAGGCUAAGGUAAGAGAAUCGCUUGAACCUGGGAGGCGGAGGUUGCAGUGAGCCGAGAUGGUGCCACUACAUUCCAGCCUGGGCAAGAGAGUGAGACUCUGUCUCAAAAAUUAAAAAACAAACAAACAAAAAACUAAGAUACUGAUAGAAAGUGCCAGCAAUCACCUGAGGCUUGAGGAAGUUGGGAUCUCUUUGCUGGUGGAAGGUCUUGUUUGUGGCUGCUGACUGAUCAGGGUGGUGGUGGCUGAAGGCUGAGGUGGCUGUGGCAAUUUCUUCCUUUUUUUUUUUUUUUUUGAGAUGGAGUUUUGCUCUUAUGCCCAGCUGGAGUUCAAUGGCGUGAUCUCGGCUCACUGCAACCUCUGCCUCCUGGGUUCAAGUGAUUCUCCACCACACCCGGCCAGCAAUUUCUUAAAAUAAGACAACAAUAAAGCUGGCCACAUUGAGCUUCUUCCUUUCACAAAAGAUUUCUCCGUAGCACGCGAUGCUGUUUGGUAGCAUUUUGUCCACAGCAGACCUUCUCUCACAACUGGAAAAUCCUCUCGAACCCUAUCGCUGCUGUACCAACGAAGUUUAUGGAAUAUUCUAAAUCCUUUGUUAUCUCAGCAAUGUUUAGAGCAUCUUCACCAGGCGCAGAUUCCAUCUCGAGAAAGCACUUUUGCUGGGCGCGGUGGCUCAGUGUCAUC